CGCCUGUUUAUCAAAAACAUGUCUUUUAGAAUUCAAUUUAAAGUCUAACCUGCCCACUGAAUUUUUUUUAAUGGCCGCAGUAUUUUAACUGUGCAAAGGUAGCAUAAUCAUUUGUCUUUUAAUUAAAGGCUGGAAUGAAUGGUUGGAUGAAAUAUUAACUGUUUCAUAAAAAUUUAUAAUAGAAUUUUAUUUUUUAGUUAAAAAGCUAAAAUAAAAUUAAAAGACGAGAAGACCCUAUAAAUCUUUAUAUUUAAAAAAUUAUAAUUAUAUAGAUAAAUUAAAUUUUAAUUUUUAAAAAUAUUUUAUUGGGGUGAUAUUAAAAUUUAAUAAACUUUUAAUUUAUUAUAAACAUAAAUUAAUGAAUUUUUGAUCCAUUUAUUAUGAUUAAAAAAUUAAGUUACUUUAGGGAUAACAGCGUAAUUUUUUUAGAAAGUUCAUAUUGAUAAAAAAGAUUGCGACCUCGAUGUUGGAUUAAGGUAUAAUUUUAGGUGUAGAAGUU
rnacentral:rRNA from 1 species